rnacentral:rRNA from 1 species
GACGAACGCUGGCGGCGUGCUUAACACAUGCAAGUGGUGCGACGAACCAUGCUUCGGCCUUGGGCGAAGCCGCGAACGGGUGAGUAACACGUGGGCAAUCUGCCGCUUUGAUCGGGACAACCCGGGGAAACCCGGGCUAAUACCGACUGACGUGGCCCGUCCUGCAAGUAGUACCGCAAGGAAGCUUUUGCUUCGGCGCAUGGAUGAGCCGGCGGCCCAUUAGCUUGUUGGUGGGGUAAUGGCCUACCAAGGCAACGAUGGGUAGCUGGUCUGAGAGGACGAUCAGCCACACUGGGACUGAGACACGGCCCAGACUCCUACGGGAGGCUGCAGUGGGGAAUCUUGCGCAAUGAGCGACAGCUUGACGCAGCAACGCCGCGUGAGGGAAGAAGGCUUUCGGGUCGUAAACCUCUUUCAGUUAGGACGAAGCUUUAUUGGUUAAUAACCAAUUGGAGUGACGGUACUUUCAGAAGAAGCCCCGGCUAACUACGUGCCAGCAGCCGCCGUAA